rnacentral:tRNA from 1 species
CAAGGAAUAGUUUAAUGUAAGAAUCUCAGCUUUGGGAGCCGAGGGUAGGAGUUAAAGUCUCCUUUCUUUGA